rnacentral:ncRNA from 1 species
AAAAAAUUUUAUAAUUUAAAAAAUUUAUUAAAAAUUUAUUUUAUAUAUAAAUUUUUGUAUUAAAGUUUAUAUAUUUUAAAAAUAUUUAUAAAAAUUUAUUUAGUAAUUAAUAUUAAAAAUAUAAUAACUUAUUAUUUAGUAAUAUUUAAAUUAUAAACAAAUUUUGUGCCAGCAGUUGCGGUUAUACAAAAUAUAAAUUAAAUUUUAUUAGUAAUAAUUAAUAAAAAUUUAAUAAAUUAAAUUAUGAAUUAUUAAGUGAAAUUUUAAUUCAUUUAAAUUUUAUAUUAAAAUUAUGAAUUUAAUAAGUUAAAAUUAUAAACUAGGAUUAGAUACCCUAUUAUUAUUAAUUAAAAUUAAAUACUAGAUUAAUAAUUAAUUAUUUAUUGAAAUUUAAAUAAUUUGGCGGUAUUUUAGUUAAUUUAGAGGAAUUUGUUUAAUAAUUGAUAAUACACGAAUAAAUUUACUUUUUUUUAGUUUGUAUAUCGUUGUUUUAAAAAUGUUUUUAAUUAAUUUUAAUAUUUUAAAAUUUAUAUAAUAAAUUAAUUCAAAUCAUGAUGCAGCUUAUAAAAAAGAAUAUAUGAAUUACAAUAAAUUUAUUUUUGGAUAAAAGUUUGAAAUAAUAAUUGAAAUUGGAUUUAAAUGUAAUUUUAAUUAUUUUAUUAAAAUGAUUUUAAAUUAAAAUAUGUACAUAUUGCCCGUCACUUUCAUUGUUAAUUUGAAAUAAGUCGUAACAAAGUAGAAUUACUGGAAAGUAAUUCUAGAACGAA